UCCCGUUUAGCUCAGUUGGUAGAGCGCGUCACUAGUACCAUGCUAUUGGUCAAUGACGAGGUCAGUCGUUCGAGUCGGCUAAUGGGAA
rnacentral:tRNA from 1 species